rnacentral:rRNA from 1 species
CCUACGGGUGGCAGCAGUAGGGAAUCUUCCACAAUGGGCGAAAGCCUGAUGGAGCAACGCCGCGUGGGUGAAGAAGGUCUUCGGAUCGUAAAACUCUGUUGUUAGAGAAGAAAGUGCGUGAGAGUAACUGUUCACGUGUCGACGGUAUCUAACCAGAAAGCCACGGCUAACUACGUGCCAGCAGCCGCGGUAAUACGUAGGGGGCAAGCGUUAUCCGGAUUUAUUGGGCGUAAAGGGAACGCAGGCGGUCUUGUAAGUCUGAUGUGAAAGCCUUCGGCUUAACCGGAGUAGUGCAUUGGAAACUGGGAGACUUGAGUGCAGGAGAGGAGAGUGGAACUCCAUGUGUAGCGGUGAAAUGCGUAGAUAUAUGGAAGAACACCAGUGGCGAAGGCGGCUCUCUGGUUUGUAACUGACGCUGAGGUUCGAAAGCGUGGGUAGCAAACAGGAUUAGAUACCCCGGUAGUC